GUUUCUCUCUCCAGACAAGACCGUGACUGAUAGAGAAAUCCAUCCUUACUCUUCCAGAUACUUAAUCUUCGAAGCAUAAGAAGCCAGUUUCCUAAAUCUGUAUCAAGUAACCACAUCUCCUAGUUGAUUCGAUUUUACAUGCAAAUCACUCUAAAAUGUAUAAUCACGGGUUCUCCAAUCAUUUUGCCCCAGAGAGGUGUCUCAUUUAAUCAUGCCACCAUUUGCUAUUGUAAAAGUCAGAGCUCAUGUGCCAUGUCUUACGUACUGAGAUGAUGUAGAAAAUUUUGAAAAAAGUUAUCUCUGUUUAGAUGAUUUAUUUUAUCUGCCUGAGAGAGAGAGAUGAUCUAUUUCCAGCAUAGAGAGAUGUAGGCAUUUGGGUAAGAUAAGGAAGAAUAUGUACUUUUAAGUUCUGAUCUCAGCUGUAUAUAUUAUCAAGUGUGACUUCCUUAUUUUUUAUUAUGUAAUCUUCAGAGUUUCAGAUACUAAUAGGCAUCAUUUAGGUGCUGGAAUUUAGUAUUUAAAACUAUCUAUUUUUGUUCCUUUCCAUUAGUGCAAAUAAUUAGAAUCUUACUGUAUAACACACAAAUGAAAGCUCAUUAUUUUACACAUUAUUAAAAAUAUUUGCAAAACUGCAGCAUUGCAACUUUUGAUGUGACAGUUGGUAUAAAUUGCAAGGGUGUAGCAGUCUCUCAUAAAAACACUGCAGCAAAAUGUUAUUAGCAAAAGAAAAAACUUUAGCAUAAUACAAAUUGCUCUGGUGUUUUUGAAAGAGACGGUUAUUUAAGAAAAGAAAAAUUGAGGUUGGCGUUGGUAAGCAUGAGCUACAAUAAAAUAAUCAGUGUAAUAAAAAGUGAACUUGUGAUUCUCUGCACUACAAAGACUGCAGAUUUCACAUCUGCAUGAACAAAGAAAACUAGAGAUUAGGAUGUGUUUAAGAAAAAUGUGUUAAACUCCGUGGAUCCAAAAAAUUAUCUUUAGGGAUGUGCUGGAUAAAAGCUUAGAUGAUUUAAUGUCUUUGAGAAGAUAGAACAUAAAGAGCUAACAGUUUUUCCCGUGAGAAUUCUAAAAGAUUGAGG
rnacentral:lncRNA from 1 species